GACGAACGCUGGCGGCGUGCUUAACACAUGCAAGUCGAACGGAAAGGCCCUGCUUUUGUGUGGUGCUCGAGUGGCGAACGUGUGAGUAACACGUGAGUCACCUUCCCUUUACUUUGGGAUAACUUCAGGCAACUGGUGCUAAUACCUGAUAGGAGCUCCUGCUGCAUGGUGGGGUUUGGACAGUUUCGGCGGUUGGGGAUGUACUCGCGGCUUAUUAGCUUGUUGGUGGGGUAGUGGCUUACCAAGGCUUUGAAGGGUAGCCGGCCUGAGAGGGUGACCGGCCACAUGGGGACUGAGAUACGGACCAGACUCCUACGGGAGGCAGCAGUGGGGAAUAUUGCACAAUGGGCGGAAGCCUGAUGCAGCAACGCCGCGUGCGGGAUGAAGGCUUUCGGGUUGUAAACCGCUGUAGGCUGUGACGAAGCGGGAGUGACGGUAAUGGGUAAAGAAGCACCGGCUAACUACGUG
rnacentral:rRNA from 1 species